GAUGAACGCUGGCGGCGUGCCUAAUACAUGCAAGUCGAGCGAACAGACGAGGAGCUUGCUCCUCUGACGUUAGCGGCGGACGGGUGAGUAACACGUGGAUAACCUACCUAUAAGACUGGGAUAACUUCGGGAAACCGGAUCUAAUACCGGAUAAUAUAUUGAACCGCAUGGUUCAAUAGUGAAAGACGGUUUUGCUGUCACUUAUAGAUGGAUCCGCGCCGCAUUAUCUAGUUGGUAAGGUAACGGCUUACCAAGGCAACGAUGCGUAGCCGACCUGAGAGGGGGAUCGGCCAAACAGGAACUGAGACACGGUCCAGACUCCUACGGGAGGGAGGAAUAGGGAAUCUUCCGCAAAGGGCGAAAGGUUGACGGAGCAACGGAGCGUGAGUGAUGAAGGGCUUCGGAUCGGAAAACUCUGUUAUUAGGGAAGAACAAAUGUGUAAGUAACUAUGCACGUCUUGACGGUACCUAAUCAGAAAGCCACGGCUAACUACGUG
rnacentral:rRNA from 1 species